rnacentral:rRNA from 1 species
AUUGAACGCUGGCGGCAGGCCUAACACAUGCAAGUCGAGCGGAUGAAGGGAGCUUGCUCCUGGAUUCAGCGGCGGACGGGUGAGUAAUGCCUAGGAAUCUGCCUGGGAGUGGGGGAUAACGUCCGGAAACGGGCGCUAAUACCGCAUACGUCCUGAGGGAGAAAGGGGGGGAUCUUCGGAUCUCACGCUAUCAGAUGAGCCUAGGUCGGAUUAGCUAGUUGGUGGGGUAAAGGCCUACCAAGGCGACGAUCCGUAACUGGUCUGAGAGGAUGAUCAGUCACACUGGAACUGAGACACGGUCCAGACUCCUACGGGAGGCAGCAGUGGGGAAUAUUGGACAAUGGGCGAAAGCCUGAUCCAGCCAUGCCGCGUGUGUGAAGAAGGUCUUCGGAUUGUAAAGCACUUUAAGUUGGGAGGAAGGGCAGUAAGUUAAUACCUUGCUGUUUUGACGUUACCAACAGAAUAAGCACCGGCUAACUUCGUG